UCCAGGGAUAUAGUAAUGUCUGGUGUCUGGACGGUCUCCAUGGGAUUAAAAAAGUAGCUGGUUUGCAUUUCGGAGACAAAACAACCCUGCAGCACGGAGUCAAACACUGCUUCUUCGCGGGAGAUGCGUCCUGUCAGGUGAACACCAGCAAAUCAAAACCCAAUUCAGCAGAGGGAUGAUUUUCGCCUUCCGGAAGAUGAAAUCACGAAAGCUCAGAGACGGCGCGCACUCCGUAGAAAGCCCAAAUCAAAUUAUUCUGUGGCCUGUGUAGAUUUCCUGUGCCUGGCACCCAGCUGCCUGCAUACAGGAAGUGCUCAUUACAGGCACAGCAGCAGAUGUCAGCCCCAAAGUGUCCAUUUUACUAGCUGGUGUUUCAGCAUCUGUCACGGGGAUCAACAAAGCAUGACAGCCGCCAAUGUGCCUCCGUGUGGACUUUUGUGAUGCUGUAUUUUCUCUUGAGAGGGGCCCCUGAUUCUGGACAGAAUGCACUGGGUAAGUCUUUACGACUUCGUAGCCCCAGGCUCCUGGCCCAGGCAGGAUGAGGAAAGGAUGCUGCCCCAGGAUCGCCCGAAACGUUUGGUUUGUUUUGUGUGGCUGGACGUGGCCGAGUCCCUGCGGCCCCAGCAGCUCUCAGGCUUCCCUGCCCGGCUGCUGCCUCAGGGCUGCGCUGAGCUCAGGCCAGAGCAGCUUCCAGGGCCUCAUUUCAGUUGUUUUUAUCAUCUAUGAGUUAUCCAGUGUUUCCAAUAAAUCACAUUCCAGGGCAAGCAGUGCAGAGAUGUGGGCCCUUAUUUCCUCUCCCAGGCUGAUAACAAUGAACAAGUGAUUUCCUGUCCAAAGCUGGGUACUCCAGCGAAAUAAGAAGUCCUAUCUCCAGGAAAAUAACACUGUCUCUCUCUCAGCCCCAACUCCAGCACACCAAGCAUGGACCGUCUCUGGCCCUUGGGCAAGCUGGAGCAGCCUUUCAUUUCCUCUCUGCCUAUUCAUGCACGCCCCACCCAUCUCCCAGUCCAGGCUGUGAUCCUCACCACCCAGCAAGCAGGCGAGGCAGGGCUAGGAACCCAUUUUACAGGUGAGAAAAGUGAGUUUGCCAGACAUUAAGUGACAUGGCCAGGGUCUCACCGGCAGUAAGUGGACAGGGCCAGGCCAGGUCGUCUCUGUGUUCCUAGGAGACCCUGUGAUGACCACUCAGCCCCCUCUGCUGCUGCUGGUUGAGGUGAGAGGUGCUUAUAACUCAGAGAUCUUUGUCAUUUGGGUUCUAAAAGCAAACUCCACCUUGUGACGCGCACCCCAAUCCGCCAGCAGCUUCAGAAGCAGCAUCUACCUGUAAGCUGCGCGGUCUCCCUCUCCCAUCUCAACAACCUUCCUGUGUGCGGCUUCCCUCUCGGAUCUGCACAACCCCCUUGUUGAGAAGAGGCAGCAGGAGCAGUGUGGGCGGUCAUUGCCCUAUUUUACAGAUGAAGAGUCAGGGCAUUUAAACAAUUUGGUAUGGAUCUAUACAUAAGAGGGUGGAAGAGGCCAGAGGAGACCUAGACCUACUUAUCUAAAACCCAGU
rnacentral:lncRNA from 1 species